CUCUAUGGCGGCUGUGCGUGAGGGCACUUUCGGGUGCGCCGGUCUUAGCUCCCGGUCGACUAACCUUUCGCACAGCUGCCACCUCA
ncrna:Pseudomonas syringae pv. syringae B728a C4 antisense RNA